CCCGGUGGCUAUAGCGGAAGGGCCCUACCCGAUCCCAUCCCGAACUCGGUCGUCAAGCCUUCCAACGUCGAUGGUACUGCAAAGGUGACU
rnacentral:rRNA from 1 species